AUUGAACGCUGGCGGCAUGCCUUACACAUGCAAGUCGAACGGCAGCACGGGAGCAAUCCUGGUGGCGAGUGGCGAACGGGUGAGUAAUAUAUCGGAACGUGCCCAGUCGUGGGGAUAACGUAGCGAAAGCUACGCUAAUACCGCAUACGAUCUAUGGAUGAAAGCGGGGGAGUCGCCCAAGACCUCGCGCGAUUGGAGCGGCCGAUAUCAGAUUAGGUAGUUGGUGAGGUAAAGGCUCACCAAGCCGACGAUCUGUAGCUGGUCUGAGAGGACGACCAGCCACACUGGGACUGAGACACGGCCCCAGACUCCUACGGGAGGCAGCAGUGGGGAAUUUUUGGGACAAUGGGCGCAAGCCUGAUCCAGCAAUGCCGCGUGCAGGAUGAAGGCCUUC
rnacentral:rRNA from 1 species